GAUGGAUAGUUUAUCAUCGAAGAAUACAAUGUGGAGCUGUACUUAUGGGGCUCAGGCUCAUAGACUCUGAGGUCUGGAAGUUGAAAAUGACUUACAAGUCAAUUUUAAGCACCUUUACAAAUGAGCCUUGGGUUACAGGAUUGUUUUUUGUAUUUAUGCUGAUUUUGUGUGUAUUCAGUGUGCAAACCUAACCUUUCUUAUAUUCUUUAAAAAGGAGCUGUGAUGUGAGUCAAUUCAAUUUACUAAGCAUCAGAGCGUCCUGUUAUCUAGCAUGACAGUCACAAAGGGGAAUGAAGCAAGGGCUCUGCCUUAAAAGGAGAUCUUUAAUCAGAAAUGAUAGUAAUACACUGUGAGAUUGAAAUAACAAGAGUAGGCACAGGGUUUUUUGCACACAAAGAGAAGAGUGGAAAAAUCUUGUGAGCGGAAAUAAUAAAAACUUAUUACUUUAGGAGUUUAAUGGAUCUGAAAAAAAAAAAAAAAAACAGUCUUUGAGGAAAAACCAGGAGCUGACAUUAUGUGAGAUUUCAAGGAUACCCAAAAGCUCACUUGAGUAGAGUCUUGUUUGGGACUCAGCAUACUGAGUGGGGUAAGCUGUAAAGAGGCCAGACCCUAAAGGACCUUAGAUACCAUAUGCUGAAGAUUGGGAGGACGUUUGGGAGAAGCGGGAAUGACAAGUAAGCUUGGGAGCCAUGGUGUGCCGAGCUCACCAGUGGAGCACAGUUUGCACGCCAUGCAGCAUGCCAGCUUCGGAAGAUUUUCUCACUAUGGACAUCAGACAACCUCCACUGAAUCCUAACCAGAACCUAUGAGGCUACUGAAAAGUUGUGCGAUCCUGCAUAACUUCUGUCACGCCUGAAAACCUCAGGACACUGAACUUCUCAUCUGGAAAAAAAUAAAACUUUUUACCUAUAAAGUUGGGAGGAUUAAUUAAGACAGUACAUGUACUGUAUAAUAUUUAACCCAGGGUCUUGUGUAUACCUGUUAAGCAAAAAACAUAUAUGGUAUUUUUAUUAUAAUUUAUUUCAUGUUAUUUAAUUAUCAAAUAUCAAGCAAGAAAUGUUUUAUUAUAGCAUGUUUUAGAUAAGAAAACUGAAGCUCAGGAAGGCCAAAUGUUUUUUUUUCAGUUUCACAGCAGUGCUAAAACCAGAAACCAUUGCUCUGAUUCUAUACCUAGAACUGCCCUCGCUCUCUUAGACAGACUGAGGAGGUGGGUCAUUUGCCUUCAGUGGAAGACCUCUUUCACAAAGCCAAUGUGCUACAAUGGGGAUGUGCAGAUAUUCAUGCAUGUCCCUCCAAGACUUAGCAUCCUGAAGACCCACCUGUUGGUCAGUAUUUCUUAUUUUGCUAAUGCCAAAACAUUUUGACAUUUCCAAUUCAUGUCAUCUGACUCUAAAACUCAAACUUACAUUUCAAAAUAAAUUUUAUUUAGUCCCACAUAAAAAAGUACCAUAUAAAUCUAAAAAACAAAGCAC
rnacentral:lncRNA from 1 species